rnacentral:lncRNA from 1 species
GUAGCAGUUAAUUAAAACAGAGACAGAAACUAUAGAUUAACAAACAAUUGGAAGGCCUCUCGAUCAAUUUAAUACACAAUAAGUUCAUACUUGUGUCUUUUUGGAAGUAUAAAAAAUGAAAAAUCGCUAUUUUCCCAAAACGAGAAACCUCUUCAUUCCUCUUUCGUUGAUUAUUCAUCCUUGUUCUUCAAACCUCAAGCCUUAAAAUUGAGGAAGUAGAGGAAAUUCUCUCAAUUUACUUCAAAGGAAGGAUCAUGUUCUCUCCUACAAAGGGGUCUUUCUAAUUUUCAUAACUUUUGACUUAAUAUUGGCAGUGUUGUAUAAUGCAAAUCCAUAUAGAAGAAACACCAUUUACAGCACAGCCAAGGAAAAUGAAGAUUCAAUAUCUUUUUCAAAAACGCUCUGUCUCAUUUGCACUUAUUUCUCUCUUCUUCUUCCACGCUUAAUGAAGAAAACCCUUAAUGAAGAAAAAAUAAGAAAUCAACCCUAAACCCCUCAACCCAACAUCCUGGUGUGCUUUCUCAAUCUACAUCCUUCUCAAUGAAACAUACUGAUGUGCUUUCUUAAUCUACAUCCUUCUCAAAGAAAUGAAUUGAAAAAUCUCUUCUCAGAGAAAUGAAUUGAAAAAU